GGGACAACCCGCCGAAAGGCGGGCUAAACCCGCGUACAUGCCACCGGGGCAUCCCGGAGGCAGGAAAGGCUUCGGCCGGACAGGGAUGGGCAUGCGGCGCAUUAGGCAGUAGGCGGGGUAACGGCCCACCUAACCGACGAUGCGUAGGGGUUCUGAGAGGAAGGUCCCCCACACUGAUACUGAGACACGGACCAGACUCCUACGGGAGGCAGCAGUGAGGAAUAUUGGUCAAUGGUCGGGAGACUGAACCAGCCAAGCCGCGUGAGGGAUGAAGGUACAGAGUAUCGUAAACCUCUUUUGUCAGGGAACAAAGGCGGGGACGUGUCCCCGGAUGAGUGUACCUGAAGAAAAAGCAUCGGCUAACUCCGUGCCAGCAGCCGCGGUAAUACGGAGGAUGCGAGCGUUAUCCGGAUUUAUUGGGUUUAAAGGGUGCGCAGGCGGUCUGUUAAGUCAGCGGUCAAAGCCCGGGGCUCAACCCCGGCCCGCCGUUGAAACUGGCAGUCUCGAGUUGGAGAGAAGUAUGCGGAAUGCGCGGUGUAGCGGUGAAAUGCAUAGAUAUCGCGCAGAACUCCGAUUGCGAAGGCAGCAUGCCGGCUCCACACUGACGCUGAGGCACGAAAGCGUGGGUAUCGAACAGGAUUAGAUACCCUGGUAGUCCACGCAGUAAACGAUGAAUGCUGGCUGUCCG
rnacentral:rRNA from 1 species